rnacentral:misc_RNA from 1 species
AAUAAAAAAAAAUCUUGUUAAAAAAAAGAAAGAGAAUAAAAAAAAAAAUUAGAAGUGACUAUUUUCUCUCUGUAAACUACUAUUCUCUGUCCUCCAAAUUAUCCAAACUCUCUCGUGUGUAUGUCUGCAAACUACCCAAACACUUCCUCUCUCAAUCUUUAAGAACGACAAACAACCUACAAUUUCUCUGGUUUUUCUUACCUAAACAACACG